GGCCUCUGUGUGUGUACUCACAUUGCUGUAGGACUUCCCAGUGCUUGUCCCACUUCUCAGACAGCUCAUGUUGCUUAGCAACCACCUUGUCCAGCUUCUCCUUGAUCUGAGAAUAAAAAGCAGUAACAACAGAAAAACAGCACCACAGAGACUUCAGUUUCUGAUCUCACCUCUUCAGCUGCUGGGUUUCUGGCAGCCAGCAGGGUCUUGCCCAUCUCGAUACACUCCAUUGUGCUCCGGCUGCGAGCCUCCACUUCGCUCUUCAGACUCUGGUGAUAAUUCAUCAGCACCUCGACUGAGGACACGUCCCUGCGGGAGCCACAGAAAUGAUAGACUCCAUCCACAUGAUCUGAUCUCGGACCAUGCCGAAGAACUUCAGCUUGUCCGUCUCGGUGGUAAUCUGGACGCGACACUCCUCACAGUACGUCAGCAGCUCUUUCCAGGACUGCAUCACUU